CUGCGGCCCUGGGGGCGGGGAAUGGGGCGACUCCGAAAGACAGGAUCGCACCGCCCCUCGGGGCUUCUCCUGCGCCCAGGAGGCCACAGAAAUUCCCUCUCUAAAGGGAGAUGCUGGUUGGGGAAGGCGAAUGGGGACGACGGUAGGACGUUUUUCAAUCUCCCUUGAGAGGACUACACGGUGCAGCAUGUGCCUGCGGUUUGAUGCCUCCGUGGAUCCGGUGCAGGGGUGAGGGAAGCUUGAUGACACACAGUCCAUUUAGGCUGAAGCUGAAACGCUGGUGUGAAGCUGCCUCUGAGGAGGGGGGUCUUGGCAUAAAUCUGUAAUUAGGUGUCUUGCGUGGGCCAGUGGGUGGUCAUGAUUAAAGGUCUCUGCUGUU